rnacentral:pre_miRNA from 1 species
AUGUGACUUGUGGGCUUCCCUUUGUCAUCCUUUGCCUAGGGCUCUGAGUGAGGCAGGGACAGCAAAGGGGUGCUCAGUCGUCACCUCU